UAGUAACUAUUUGGGUGAGAACAGAAUGUGGAUGUUUCGUGGGUGCUGCGUGAGAAACACGUGAAUGUAUACGUAUAUUUUUAACUCUUGAAGAAUACAAAUUUGGAUGGAGAUGAAACGCAACGCCUUCCUCAACAGAAGAAACCCAAGUUGCAGCCUCAAUCCUCAUGAGAAAGAAAUACAAUUGUGUAGCUCCUCACGAAGGCGAAUCGUUGGUAGCUACAAUUUAGGAUCCAUGUCACUCGCUGUGUGAGCUUGUUGAUUGACCAAAAAUGUCAGAUAAUUGAAUCUGUGAUUGUGGCAAGAUGAAUUUGUUCAUAAAGCUUCAUCCAUCCUGCGUCCAAAAACCUUCAGCCUUUUGGUCAAGCUCAGGAUCUUAGUCUGAUUAUCUAUCCUCUCCUUGAUCACAUCAAGGUUAUUCGAAAACCAAGAGGAAGGAGUAUUAGAAAGUGAAAGGAGUUAAGUGAAAUUAACUAUAAGCUUGUGCUUAAACUUCACUGUAUUACCACUAUUAAGGAUUAUUUUCCAUGUCAUAGUAGGAUAUGUGGCUUUGAUGAAUAUUGCCUAAAGACUUGUGAAGCUGAGUAUGGUGAGGAAACCUAGAAAAGGUGUGAGUUCGACUUCAAAAAUGGAUUAGAAUUUAGUGGGGGAUCAAGUCAAGUCUGGAAGCAUUACAAGAUAGAAGAGUUGGCCUACAGUUAGAAAAACACUAAGCGUAUUACCUUUGGUAAAGUAGUGGAGUAAUGUGAAUUUUUUAAAGAGAAGUAUAAUCGUGCGUAAAUGAAUCCGAUAACAUCGUUCCUUUAUAGUUCAGUCACAGCUAGAAGCCGCAAAUGAUUCUGCUUCUUUUUCUUGCUAAGGAACUACUUGUUGUUUAAGUUCACAAUGUUGAUCAAACUGGGCACUUUAAUGGCUCUAAAGAAGUAUGACUUUGCUGGAGUUGCAUGGAUGAAUAUCAUACAUGGAUUUUUUAGGAAAAGAUUUGGAUCAUACUGAGCACACGGCUAUCUAAAAUGCAACGUUUUACGAGUGCUAGUUCAUCUGUCAAGAGCAGUAUGCAGUGGUAUUCGUUAGCAAUUUGUAUGCCCUUUCGCAAGCUUCGUUG